CCUACGGGAGGCAGCAGUCGAGAAUCAUUCACAAUGGGGGAAACCCUGAUGGUGCGACGCCGCGUGGGGGAAUGAAGGUCUUCGGAUUGUAAACCCCUGUCGUGUGGGAGCAAAUUAAAACGAUAGUACAACACGAGGGAGAGACGGCUAACUCUGUGCCAGCAGCCGCGGUAAUACAGAGGUCUCAAGCGUUGUUCGGCAUCACUGGGCGUAAAGCGUGCGUAGGCUGUUGCGUAAGGCGUGUGUGAAAGGCGCGGGCUCAACCCGCGGACGGCACAUGAGACUGCGAGACUAGAGUAAUGGAGGGGGAACCGGAAUUCGCGGUGUAGCAGUGAAAUGCGUAGAUAGCGAGAGGAACACUCGUGGCGAAGGCGGGUUCCUGGACAUUAACUGACGCUGAGGCACGAAGGCCAGGGGAGCGAAAGGGAUUAGAUACCCUUGUAGUC
rnacentral:rRNA from 1 species